UACGGAAGGUGCAAGCGUUAAUCGGAAUUACUGGGCGUAAAGCGCGCGUAGGCGGCUUGGUAAGUCGGAUGUGAAAGCCCUGGGCUCAACCUGGGAACUGCAUUCGAUACUGCCGGGCUGGAGUACGAGAGAGGGGGGUGGAAUUCCAGGUGUAGCGGUGAAAUGCGUAGAGAUCUGGAGGAACACCAGUGGCGAAGGCGGCCCCCUGGUUCGAUACUGACGCUGAGGUGCGAAAGCGUGGGGAGCAAACAGG
rnacentral:rRNA from 1 species